AUCUUGCUUGUCAGGUGUAUGUUCAGAUUCUCUCCAGGCAUCAUGAGACAACCCAAAUUAUUAUUGCUACUAUCAUGGAGAAUUACAUGAAUUCACAAUC